CUCAGGAUGAACGCUAGCGACAGGCUAACACAUGCAAGUCGAGGGGCAGCACGGAGUAGCAAUACAACUGGUGGCGACCGGCGCACGGGUGAGUAACGCGUAUGCAACCUACCUAUCGAGAGGGGAAUAACCCGGCGAAAGUCGGACUAAUACCGCAUAAAACAGGGGCACCGCAUGGUGAUAUUUGUUAAAGAAAUUCGCUGAUAGAUGGGCAUGCGUUCCAUUAGGUAGUUGGUGAGGUAACGGCUCACCAAGCCGACGAUGGAUAGGGGAACUGAGAGGUUGGUCCCCCACACUGGUACUGAGACACGGACCAGACUCCUACGGGAGGCAGCAGUGAGGAAUAUUGGUCAAUGGGCGAGAGCCUGAACCAGCCAAGUCGCGUGAAGGGAAAAGAAGGAUCUAUGGUUCGUAAACUUCUUUUGCAGGGGAAUAAAGUGCAGGACGUGUCCUGUUUUGUAUGUACCCUGAGAAUAAGGAUCGGCUAACUCCGUGCCAGCAGCAGC
rnacentral:rRNA from 1 species